rnacentral:lncRNA from 1 species
GGGUCAUCUGAUAUAUCAAAUUGAAGGUCUUAAUAAACUCUACUUAAAAAUGAAAUUUUAAACCCCCUUUUCAUCCCAGGGGACGGGUGGGUCAUUUAGUGCAAACAUUCAAAUUUCUCAGAUGGUAAGGUUGUCGCAUAUCAAAUGAAAGAACAUAAAGCGUACAUUUCAAAUUUCAAAUUGACGUCUCCCAAAAAUGGGUUGGAUGGGGUCAUUGAGUGCCAAAAAUAAAGGUAGGGUCGUUGUAUAUCAAAUGAAAGGUCAUGAUGUGUACAUUUGAAAUAUCAAAUUCCCGACCUCCAAAAAUUAGUUGGAUAGGGUUAUUAAGUGCAAAAAUCAAUCUUUCUAGAAUAUGGUGUUGUCGCAUAUCAAAUGAAAGCUCAUCUACUCUGUUCCAUAUAUCAUAAUUCCGAUCUCAAAAAUGUAGGCGGAUGAGGUCAUUAUGUGUAAAAAAGCGAAAAGUUUCAGAAGGUAUGCUUGUCGUAUAUCAAACGAAAGGUCGUACAAAGUACAAUACGAAAACAUCACUUUUACAGGAAAGACCUUUCAAUUGUUUUACAAACAAUUGAGAUACUAGUUUUAUUAUCUUUUUUUAAAAAGCAUAAUAUAAAUACAUUAUGGCAAGGCUCGUAAGGUAAUAAUGUUUGUCCUAUUAUAAUUUGACACAUUAUAUCAUGUGUUUCAAAACUGAUUUAGGGUUAAUAAUAAAAAAUAUACUUGCCUAACAAUUAUUACUUUUCAUGGACACAAAAAAAAAAUGUCACAAGGCGUGGCCACUCUCGCCAAUUUUGAUACCCAAC